UAAUAGUGUGUGUAUGUGCGUGUUUGCGUGCGAGUGUGUGCGUGCGUUUGUGUGUGUGAGUGAGUGAGUGAGUGAGAGUGUUUGCCAGUAUACAGUAAAUUGGGGGAAUGAACUAGCAUGAAAUGAAUGCAGAUGGUGGCUGACUGGCUGUAAGAGUUUUGGAGUGGCUGUCCUAGCCCCAAUCCCAGACCCAGUCCUAAAGGUCCCCAGGCUCAGUCCCAGUCCUAAAGGACCCCAGUCCCAGUCCUAAAGAUCCCCAGCCCCACAGUCUUAAAGGUCCCCAGCCCCAGUCCUAAAGGUCCUCAGUACCCAGUCCUAAAGGUCCCCAGACCCAGUCCUAAAGGUCCCCAGACCCAG
rnacentral:lncRNA from 1 species